UUGUGAGUAAAGGUGUACCUUGGGUUAAGAAAAAAUUACAUCUUAAACACCUUUUAUUACAUAUUUCUGAAGUAAAGUAAAUUUAAAGUAACUUAAAAAAAUUAUGGCAUUUAAUUACUUUUUGGACAAAUGUAACAUCAACAUAUGACUGUUCUAAGCAUAUCAAAUCCUAUAACAAAGUACAUAAAGGCAAAAUGGCUAUAUAGUAUUUUGUAGAAGAGAUUGCUUUUGAAAAUUUAUAUCUGUGAUCUUUUUGGCUAAUGUUACUUGCAUACUUGCAUGCCUGCUUACAAUGAAUAUUUGCCAGCUAUCUGACAUUUUCCAUUUUCCACCUACUUCAUCAGUAAACAAUACAAAUGGUGCACCUGUCACGACCUGCGGGAUCGGCAAGGCGCUGAUCAUAAUCUCCCCACUCCUGGCUCUCCUUUUCUAUCUCUCUCUCCCCCUCUCUCCCUCUCUCUCCUGUUUUGCCGGGGCGGAACUCAUGGCGGCUUCACGCCCUCGGCCCACGCCUUCCUGGAUUGGGAACACCUGGGCCUCAUCAGACCAGCUGGUAUUUUAGAGGGAGGAGGUCAGCUGUUCAACGCUGGAUUGUUGUGAGGACUCUAAUUCCCCGGACCCGUCCCCGUGUUUCCCCGUGUGGAGUGUGGAAGGAGUGACUGGUCACUAGCGGAGAGAGAAAGAAAAGCUCUGACCUGUUGAGGACUCCAUUGCACCCCUGAAGACACGUUACAGUAUCUGGCACCAAGAUUUUAGCAACAGAUCGUUUAAGUCCUGCAAGUUGUCAGUUGUGGCCUCAAUGGAUUGGGCUUGUUUGUCUAGAACAUUCCAAAGUUGGAUUGAGAUCUGGGGAAUUUCUGAGGGUACGGAUGCCACGGGCCCAGCACUGAGCUUCUUCUUGGCUUUGGCAGAGGAGAUCCAGGCUUUUACGAGACCCUUUGAAGA